rnacentral:SRP_RNA from 1 species
GCUGGGCAUGGAGGCGUGUGCCUGUAAUCCCAGCUACUCAGGAGGCUGAGGCAGGAGGAUUGCCUGAACCCGGGAGGCGGAGGUUGCGGUGAGCCGAGAUCGCGCCAUUGCACUCCAGCCUAGGUAACAAGAGCGAAACUCCGUCUCAUAAAAAAAAAAAAAAAAAGAAUCUAUGCAUUUGAUUAUGCCUCCUCGUUGGUCAUGCCUGGGUGUUUACAUAACAUGUAAAUGUAUUUUUUUUUUUUUUUUUUGAGACGGAGUUUCGCUCUUGUUACCCAGGCUGGAGUGCAAUGGCGCGAUCUCGGCUCACCGCAACCUCCGCCUCCCGGGUUCAGGCAAUUCUCCUGCCUCA